AAGCUGCAGAAUACAAAAAGAUCACCUGUGUGAGAUAACUGAGUCCUGAAACAUACUCGUGUUUAAAGAUCUGGGAGGUGUAGAGGAAUUAUCAAAGGAGAAUGAGAAGGAGCAGCCAGUGAGGUGUGUAGAAAAACAAGAUAAGCAAAAAGAAAAGCAAGAGCAAUGGAACUGAACUUCCCUUUGGCAAAAAAUUUAGAAACUGAUAAUCAGACUCCUCUUUCUGUCUCUCUGAAGAUAAUGUAAAGCUGCAGCUCCAUAUCUGUGAAAACCCAUUCCAUAGCAUCUGCAUCUCUGGGUUGCUAAAUACCCUUGUCUAGUUACCUGAAUAUUAAUAGAUCCCAUGGAAUGAGAUGGCAUGAUUCAGACACAAGCAAUUACCAAAGGAUUUUGAAAAGCAGUAACUCCAAAUUAUCUUGUAAAGUUGAGAAUUAUCUGAGAAGAGCUAUUGUAAGAUUGGGAAUCAAGUAACAAAAUAAAGAAAUGAACUGUC